rnacentral:lncRNA from 1 species
AUGGCCCAUUUCCACUGUGGGUGGAAAGGCAGGGGUCCCAGAGUUCUGCACCCUGCCUUAUACCCACUCUGCUUCAUGUCACCAGGCUACUGGAGUCCCUCAGAGUUGCUGAUCUGCUCUGACACUCACUCGCCUGCCCACCCUGCUCUGACCCACCUGAUCCUCACACCCGCCUGGUUACCUUUUCACCAUUUUGAGAGGAGAGGCCCAAGUCCAACAGUGAGAGUCAGAAAGGCAGGUGGAGGCUCUUGUGGUCACUGACCUGCUCUGAAGCCUGCACAUCUUCUGGCCCUGAUCGAACCCACCUGAUCUCCACACCCACCUGCUUACCUUCUUACCAUCUUGAGAGGAGAGGCCCACAUCCAACAGGGAGUGUCAGAAAGGUGGGCUUGAGCUGCACCCUCACCCUCUACCAAUAUCUCAAGGGAAGAGGACUGUGGUGGGUGCCUGGAGCACAUGGGUCUGAGGUCAAGGUGACAAGGACCUCUAGCACCAAUCCCUGAGCAUGAAGCCCCUUCUGGGUUCCAUGAACUACGGGCUGCUGCCAGAGGUGCCCGACACCCUGCAAGGAGCCCAAGGUUAGAGAUCAGGCUUUUGUCCAGAAAAGGAAGAGAAGGAGAAGGAUGGACAGGUGAGGCUGAAGGAGGUGCAGGAGGAUGCAGGAGGAGGCGGAGGAUGGGAAGGUCUAGCAAGAGGAGAGAUGGAUUCAGGAGAAAAGGUGGAUGCAGCAGGAUGGAGGGAGAGGUGAAUGAGGGGGAGAAGUAGGCACAAGAGGGAGAGGAAGAGGAGAAAACAUGAGUGGAGGAGAGGUGGAGGAUGCAAGGAAGAUGGAUCAGGAAGAGCAUGAAGAGCAGGAGGAUGAAGAGGAAUAGAUAGAGGAGAGGGAGGAAAGGACAGAGGAGGAGGACAUGGAUGGAUGGAAGAGGUUGAAGGAAAGAUGGAGGAGGAGGGAGGGGAAGCAGGGGUCAAGGCCAUCCCAGAGCAGGUGGUAUGGCGAGCUGUGUGGGGUCUCUUAAAGGGUGUACCUGAGUGAGCUUCUGGUUUGAUGCUUGGACCUGGUGAAAUCCAGCAGCGUGGUGCGGCCUGGGUGGCAAAUUUCCAGCCUGAGUCAAGUCAAACUGCAAGGGCUUAGAGUCCACUUGAGUACUUUCUUGGAAACCCUAAGUGAGAGGGGAGAGGAGGAAUGAAUGAAGGUCAGAGUUGGG